UUCUCUUUUGAAAUGGCACGCAUCGACAUAGGAUGGAAGGUAGAAAAGAAGAAUGCAAUACUUUUUUCUACCCUCUUGUAUCAACCGACACAGGAGUGGGAAUGUUGAUUAACUUUAGCACGACAUCUUUUGCACUGAUGCACAACAAAAAGACAACAAUUCCUUAUAGCUUCAAGGUGAUCACUAGCUUGCCACCGCAUGAAGGACCUAACCUGAGCUUUCACGCGCUUGAUGAACAAUUUGACCUGUUAGAUAAAGUUUUGAAUACAUGGGAUAACAUGGUUGGUGUUGAGCACUUGGAAGAGGAUUC